CUCGACGUUGUCUCUGGUUCGUUCUCUCCACAACAAUGGCGACGGCGACUGCAGCUUCUUCAUCGUUGAAGCUGCUCGUUCAAGGCGAGGCAGCGAUAGGAGGAGGAGGAGAGGGUAAGCAGCAGAAGAAGAACGGCGCAGCAGAAGGAAGAAACCGCAAAGCCCUCGGCGACAUUGGCAAUCUCGUCACUGUUCGAGGCAUCGAAGGCAAGAAAAGGCUGCAAGAGUUUGAAGCCACUUUG